rnacentral:tRNA from 1 species
GUGACCUUGGCCGAGAGACGAGGCAUCGGACUGUGGCUCCGAGCACGUGGGUUUGAAUCCCAUAGGUCACCCCA